rnacentral:rRNA from 1 species
GGGUUGUGAGGUUAAGCGACUAAGCGUACACGGUGGAUGCCCUGGCAGUCAGAGGCGAUGAAGGGCGUGCUAAUCUGCGAUAAGCGCCGGUAAGGUGAUAUGAACCGUUAUAACCGGCGAUACCCGAAUGGGGAAACCCAGUGUGAUUCGUCACACUAUCAUUAACUGAAUCCAUAGGUUAAUGAGGCGAACCGGGGGAACUGAAACAUCUAAGUACCCCGAGGAAAAGAAAUCAACCGAGAUUCCCCCAGUAGCGGCGAGCGAACGGGGAGGAGCCCAGAGCCUGAAUCAGCAUGUGUGUUAGUGGAAGCGUCUGGAAAGGCGCGCGAUACAGGGUGACAGCCCCGUACACAAAAGCGCAUGUGCUGUGAGCUCGAUGAGUAGGGCGGGACACGUGGUAUCCUGUCUGAAUAUGGGGGGACCAUCCUCCAAGGCUAAAUACUCCUGACUGACCGAUAGUGAACCAGUACCGUGAGGGAAAGGCGAAAAGAACCCCGGCGAGGGGAGUGAAAAAGAACCUGAAACCGUGUACGUACAAGCAGUGGGAGCACGUGUGACUGCGUACCUUUUGUAUAAUGGGUCAGCGACUUAUAUUCUGUAGCAAGGUUAACCGAAUAGGGGAGCCGGAGGGAAACCGAGUCUUAAUUGGGCGUUAAGUUGCAGGGUAUAGACCCGAAACCCGGUGAUCUAGCCAUGGGCAGGUUGAAGGUUGGGUAACACUAACUGGAGGACCGAACCGACUAAUGUUGAAAAAUUAGCGGAUGACCUGUGGCUGGGGGUGAAAGGCCAAUCAAACCGGGAGAUAGCUGGUUCUCCCCGAAAGCUAUUUAGGUAGCGCCUCGUGAAUUCAUCUCCGGGGGUAGAGCACUGUUUCGGCUAGGGGGCCAUCCCGGCUUACCAACCCGAUGCAAACUGCGAAUACCGGAGAAUGUUAUCACGGGAGACACACGGCGGGUGCUAACGUCCGUCGUGAAGAGGGAAACAACCCAGACCGCCAGCUAAGGUCCCAAAGUCAUGGUUAAGUGGGAAACGAUGUGGGAAGGCCCAGACAGCCAGGAUGUUGGCUUAGAAGCAGCCAUCAUUUAAAGAAAGCGUAAUAGCUCACUGGUCGAGUCGGCCUGCGCGGAAGAUGUAACGGGGCUAAACCAUGCACCGAAGCUGCGGCAGCGACACUGUGUGUUGUUGGGUAGGGGAGCGUUCUGUAAGCCUGUGAAGGUGUGUCGUGAGGCAUGCUGGAGGUAUCAGAAGUGCGAAUGCUGACAUAAGUAACGAUAAAGCGGGUGAAAAGCCCGCUCGCCGGAAGACCAAGGGUUCCUGUCCAACGUUAAUCGGGGCAGGGUGAGUCGACCCCUAAGGCGAGGCCGAAAGGCGUAGUCGAUGGGAAACGGGUUAAUAUUCCCGUACUUGGUGUUACUGCGAAGGGGGGACGGAGAAGGCUAUGUUGGCCGGGCGACGGUUGUCCCGGUUUAAGCGUGUAGGUGUGUGUUCCAGGUAAAUCCGGUUCACUUUAACACUGAGGCGUGACGACGAGGCACUACGGUGCUGAAGCAACAAAUGCCCUGCUUCCAGGAAAAGCCUCUAAGCAUCAGGUAACAUCAAAUCGUACCCCAAACCGACACAGGUGGUCAGGUAGAGAAUACCAAGGCGCUUGAGAGAACUCGGGUGAAGGAACUAGGCAAAAUGGUGCCGUAACUUCGGGAGAAGGCACGCUGACACGUAGGUGAAGUGAUUUACUCAUGGAGCUGAAGUCAGUCGAAGAUACCAGCUGGCUGCAACUGUUUAUUAAAAACACAGCACUGUGCAAACACGAAAGUGGACGUAUACGGUGUGACGCCUGCCCGGUGCCGGAAGGUUAAUUGAUGGGGUCAGCGCAAGCGAAGCUCCUGAUCGAAGCCCCGGUAAACGGCGGCCGUAACUAUAACGGUCCUAAGGUAGCGAAAUUCCUUGUCGGGUAAGUUCCGACCUGCACGAAUGGCGUAAUGAUGGCCAGGCUGUCUCCACCCGAGACUCAGUGAAAUUGAACUCGCUGUGAAGAUGCAGUGUACCCGCGGCAAGACGGAAAGACCCCGUGAACCUUUACUAUAGCUUGACACUGAACAUUGAGCCUUGAUGUGUAGGAUAGGUGGGAGGCUUUGAAGUGUGGACGCCAGUCUGCAUGGAGCCGACCUUGAAAUACCACCCUUUAAUGUUUGAUGUUCUAACGUGGACCCGUUACCCGGGUUGCGGACAGUGUCUGGUGGGUAGUUUGACUGGGGCGGUCUCCUCCUAAAGAGUAACGGAGGAGCACGAAGGUUGGCUAAUCCUGGUCGGACAUCAGGAGGUUAGUGCAAUGGCAUAAGCCAGCUUGACUGCGAGCGUGACGGCGCGAGCAGGUGCGAAAGCAGGUCAUAGUGAUCCGGUGGUUCUGAAUGGAAGGGCCAUCGCUCAACGGAUAAAAGGUACUCCGGGGAUAACAGGCUGAUACCGCCCAAGAGUUCAUAUCGACGGCGGUGUUUGGCACCUCGAUGUCGGCUCAUCACAUCCUGGGGCUGAAGUAGGUCCCAAGGGUAUGGCUGUUCGCCAUUUAAAGUGGUACGCGAGCUGGGUUUAGAACGUCGUGAGACAGUUCGGUCCCUAUCUGCCGUGGGCGCUGGAGAACUGAGGGGGGCUGCUCCUAGUACGAGAGGACCGGAGUGGACGCAUCACUGGUGUUCGGGUUGUCAUGCCAAUGGCACUGCCCGGUAGCUAAAUGCGGAAGAGAUAAGUGCUGAAAGCAUCUAAGCACGAAACUUGCCCCGAGAUGAGUUCUCCCUGAGACUUAGAGUCUCCUGAAGGAACGUUGAAGACGACGACGUUGAUAGGCCGGGUGUGUAAGCGCAGCGAUGCGUUGAGCUAACCGGUACUAAUGAACCGUGAGGCUUAACCUUACAACGCCGAAG